rnacentral:rRNA from 1 species
UACGGAGGGGGCUAGCGUUGGUUCGGAAUUACUGGGCGUAAAGCGCACGUAGGCGGCUUUGUAAGUUAGAGGUGGAAAGCCCGGGGCUCAACUCCGGAACUGCCAUUGAAACUGUUAGCUUGAGGAUGAGAGAGGUGAGUGGAAUUCCCAGUGUAGAGGUGAAAUUCGUAGAUAUUGGGAAGAACACCGGUGGCGAAGGCGGCUCACUGGCUCAUUACUGACGCUCGAGGCGCGAUAGCGUGGGGAUCAAACAGG